GACGAACGCUGGCGGCGUGCCUAAUACAUGCAAGUCGAGCGAACAGACGAGGAGCUUGCGCCUCUGACGUUAUCGGCGGACGGGUGAGUAACACGUGGACAACCUACCUAUAAGACUGGGAUAACUUCGGGAAACCGGAUCUAAGACCGGAUAAUAUAUUGACCCGCAUUGUUCAAUAGUUAAAGACGGUUGUUCUUUGACUUAUAGAUUGAUCCGGGCUGCAUUCGUUAGUUGGUAAGGUAGCGGCUUACCAAGGCAACGAUGCGUAGACGACCUAAGAGGGUGGUUGGCCACCCUGGAAGUGAGACAGGGCACAGACACCUACGGGAGGCAGCAGUCGGGAAUCUUACGCAAUGGGGGAGAGCGUGACGGAGCAAAGCCGCGUGAGUGAUGAUGGUCUUCGGCUCGUAGAACGCUGUUAUCAGGGAAGAACAAAUGUGUAAGUACCCAUGCACGUAUUGACGGUACCUAAUCAGAAAGCCCCGGCUAACUACGUG
rnacentral:rRNA from 1 species